rnacentral:rRNA from 1 species
GACGAACGCUGGCGGCGUGCUUAACACGUGCAAGUCGAACGGAAAGGCCCUUCGGGGUCCUCGAGUGGCGAACGGGUGAGUAACACGUGGGUGAUCUGCCCUGCACUUUGGGAUAAGCCUGGGAAACUGGGUCUAAUACCGAAUAGGACCACGCGCUUCAUGGUGUGUGGUGGAAAGCUUUUGCGGUGUGGGAUGGGCCCGCGGCCUAUCAGCUUGUUGGUGGGGUAAUGGCCUACCAAGGCGACGACGGGUAGCCGGCCUGAGAGGGUGACCGGCCACACUGGGACUGAGAUACGGCCCAGACUCCUACGGGAGGCAGCAGUGGGGAAUAUUGCACAAUGGGCGCAAGCCUGAUGCAGCGACGCCGCGUGAGGGAUGACGGCCUUCGGGUUGUAAACCUCUUUCAAUAGGGACGAAGCGCAAGUGACGGUACCUAUAGAAGAAGCACCGGCCAACUACGUG